rnacentral:rRNA from 1 species
GUGGGGAAUAUUGCACAAUGGGGGAAACCCUGAUGCAGCGACGCCGCGUGAGUGAAGAAGUAUUUCGGUACGUAAAGCUCUAUCAGCAAGGAAGAAAAUGACGGUACUUGACUAAGAAGCCCCGGCUAACUACGUGCCAGCAGCCGCGGUAAUACGUAGGGGGCAAGCGUUAUCCGGAUUUACUGGGUGUAAAGGGAGCGUAGACGGUAUGGUAAGUCAGAUGUGAAAGCCCGGGGCUCAACCCCGGGACUGCAUUUGAAACUAUCAGAAUAGAGUGCAGGAGAAGUAAGUGGAAUUCCUAGUGUAGCGGUGAAAUGCGUAGAUAUUAGGAGGAACACCAGUGGCGAAGGCGGCUUACUGGACUGUAACUGACGUUGAGGCUCGAAAGCGUGGGGAGCAAACAGGAUUAGAAACCCCAGUAGUCC